rnacentral:rRNA from 1 species
UACGGAGGGUGCGAGCGUUAAUCGGAAUUACUGGGCGUAAAGCGCAUGCAGGUGGAUGAUUAAGUCAGAUGUGAAAGCCCGGGGCUCAACCUCGGAAUAGCAUUUGAAACUGGUUAUCUAGAGUACUGUAGAGGGGGGUAGAAUUUCAGGUGUAGCGGUGAAAUGCGUAGAGAUCUGAAGGAAUACCGGUGGCGAAGGCGGCCCCCUGGACAGAUACUGACACUCAGAUGCGAAAGCGUGGGGAGCAAACAGG